GCCGCUCCUGGCGCUGCUGCUUCUGCUGCUGGCGCCACUGCCGCCGGGGGCCCCGCCGGGCGCCGACGCCUACUUCCCCGAGGAGCGCUGGAGCCCGGAGUCGCCCCUGCAGGCGCCGCGCGUGCUCAUCGCGCUGUUGGCGCGAAACGCGGCCCACGCGUUGCCCACCACGCUGGGCGCACUCGAGCGGCUGCGGCACCCGCGGGAGCGCACGGCGCUAUGACGGAAUCUUGCUCUGUCGCCCAGGCUGGAGUACAGUGACACGAUCUCAGCUCAUUGCAACCUCCGCCUCCGGGUUCAA
rnacentral:lncRNA from 1 species